GUGAGAGGCUAAAAUUUGCAUAAAAUGGGUUUAGAAGGAGAGAGAAAGUGGGAGUGACUGGCUAGAUGGAUUGAGAAGGAGAGAGAAAGAUUUUCACUUGUUACUUGUGUUACCAGCUAGGCUCUCUAGUUUCUCCAUUUUUAACCACUUUCAUCUUCUUCCAAAUUGUUAUAUCACUCGAAUUUCUUCCAAGUUUCACUUGCAUGAUACUAAUUUUGGUUUUGUAAACAUUACCGCCCACAAAGAAUUGAAGUUACACAAGCCGCAAUACGUCACCAGUUUCAUCUUUGAAAACCCUAAUUUUUCAAAAUUUCAAUUAAAAAAACAAAGAAAAAGAACAUGAGUUCGGAAUCAGAUCAACGGGACGUAGAUCAAUCAAGUGAUGGCGAAGAUGUAUCUAAGUUUGUUUUGCUGAGUAUCUGGCAUGAAGGCAGAUUAUAUUUCUGCCCAAGACGUUGUUAUGAGAAUGGAAUUAAUCAGGUGUUUGUUUUGGCUAGAUCCAAAUUCGACUUCAAUUAUCUGCAUUUAAUUAUCAGUUCGUUCGGUUAUGAAAAAUUCAAGAUCUGGGUUGUUCACGAUUUUGAUAAAUUCGACGAGGACGGAUUCCUCGUUGAAACUCCAAAUGACUUCACCAAGUUCAUAGAAUUGACAAAGAAGGACAAGUGUGUAAGCGUUAUUGUCCAGCAUAUGGAGAAAGUCGGAGGAGAUAAGUCGUUCUAUAAACGGGAGGAAGAAGUAAAGGAGAUCUCAAAACGAAAAGUGGCGGCUCAUCCAGUUACCACAACAAAAAAAACCUAAGGACAACAAUUCUACAAGGCCCACAAGUAAAAAUAAACUCUGUCAAAACAAUAUGGACACUAGUAAGGAUGAUCAAUGUGCCCCCAAGGUAUGUCAUAUUGUCAUAUGCUUCGUAUGUAUCUUGUAAUUUGUGUACUUAAUUAUUCUGUGUUCAAACAAUA